rnacentral:lncRNA from 1 species
AUGCACCUUGGAGGACCACAGCAGAAUCAUGCGCUCGCUCGGCUUAUUGCUUGCUUUGACGCUUCUGAGCUCCAGCUUGCUGACAUCAGCAAGUGGUGGACGCGAUCGGCGUGGGGGCCACAAUGGAUGGGGUAGCCAUGAUGGGCGUGGGGGCCACGAUGGACGGGGUGGCCACGAUGGACGUGGGGGCCACGAUGGACGUGGUGGCCACGAUGGACGUGGUGGCUACGAUGGACGUGGUGGCCACGAUGGACGUGGUGGCCACGAUGGACGUGGUGGCCACGAUGGACGUGGUGGCCACGAUGGACGUGGUGGCCACGAUGGACGUGGUGGCCACGAUGGACGUGGUGGCCACGAUGGACGUGGUGGCCACGAUGGACGUGGUGGCCACGAUGGACGGGGUGGCCACGAUGGACGGGGUGGCCACGAUGGGCGGGGUGGCCAUGAUGUGCGUGGGGGCCACGAUGGAUGGGGUGGCCACGAUGGAUGGGGUGGCCACGAUGGGCGUGGGGGCUACGAUGGAUGGGGUGGCCACGAUGGGCGUGGGGGCCACGAUGGAUGGGGUGGCCAUGAUGGCCGUGGGGGCUACGAUGGAUGGGGUGGCCAUGAUGGGCGUGGGGGCCACGAUGGAUGGGGUGGCCAUGAUGGCCGUGGGGGCCACGAUGGAUGGGGUGGCCAUGAUGGGCGUGGGGGCCACAAUGGACGGGGUGGCCAUGAUGGACGGGGUGGCCAUGAUGGGCAUAGAGGCCAUGAUGGAUG